rnacentral:rRNA from 1 species
UGAAACCGCCGAACGGCUCAUUACAACAGCUAUAAUUUACUUGAUCUUGAUUUCCUACUUGGAUAACUGUGGUAAUUCUAGAGCUAAUACAUGCACCAAAGCUCCAACCCGUAAGGGAAGAGCGCAUUUAUUAGAACAAAACCUGCGGCUUCGGCCGCUCAAUGUUGACUCAGAAUAACUAGCUGAUCGCAUGGUCUUGUACGGCGACGUGUCUUUCAAGUAUCUGCCUUAUCAACUUUCGAUGGUACUGUCAUUGACUACCAUGGUGGUGACGGGUAACGGAGGAUCAGGGUUCGACUCCGGAGAAGGGGCCUGAGAAAUGGCCACUACGUCUAAGGAUGGCAGCAGGCGCGCAAAUUACCCACUCUCAGAACAAUUUGAGGAGGUAGUGACGAGAAAUAACGAGACCGUUCUCAACAGAGGCCGGUCAUCGGAAUGGGUACAAUUUAAACCCUUUAACGAGUAUCUAUGAGAGGGCAAGUCUGGUGCCAGCAGCCGCGGUAAUUCCAGCUCUCAAAAUGCAUAGAAUUAUUGCUGCGGUUAAAAAGCUCGUAGUUGGAUCUGUGCCGACAGACUGGUCCAUCUUCGGAUGCGUACUGGUUAUUGUYGGCUUUCCUGCAGUUUUGCGGCUCAGUGCCUCUCACGGGGUGCAGUGUCCGUUGCUGCAAGUUUACUUUGAACAAAUCAGAGUGCUCUAAACAGGCGUUUCGCUUGAAUGUUCGUGCAUGGAAUAAUAGAAGAGGAUUUCGGUUCUAUUUUAUUGGUUUUAUAGACUGAGAUAAUGGUUAACAGAGACAAACGGGGGCAUUCGUAUUGCUACGUGAGAGGUGAAAUUCUUGGACCGUAGCAAGACGAACUACAGCGAAAGCAUUUGCCAAGAAUGUCUUCAUUAAUCAAGAACGAAAGUCAGAGGUUCGAAGGCGAUCAGAUACCGCCCUAGUUCUGACCGUAAACGAUGCCAACUAGCGAUCCGCCGGMGGAAUUCUUGCCCUGGUGGGGAGCUUCCCGGAAACGAAAGUCUUCCGGUUCCGGGGGAAGUAUGGUUGCAAAGCUGAAACUUAAAGGAAUUGACGGAAGGGCACCACCAGGAGUGGAGCCUGCGGCUUAAUUUGACUCAACACGGGAAAACUCACCCGGCCCGGACACCGUAAGGAUUGACAGAUUGAUAGCUUUUUCAUGAUUCGGUGGAUGGUGGUGCAUGGCCGUUCUUAGUU